rnacentral:rRNA from 1 species
AACACGUAAGGAAUCUACCUAUAAGCGGGGGAUAACAUUCGGAAACGGGUGCUAAUACCGCAUAAUAUCUUCUUCCGCAUGGAAGAAGAUUGAAAGACGGCUCUGCUGUCACUUAUAGAUGACCUUGCGGUGCAUUAGUUAGUUGGUGGGGUAACGGCCUACCAAGACGAUGAUGCAUAGCCGACCUGAGAGGGUGAUCGGCCACAUUGGGACUGAGACACGGCCCAAACUCCUACGGGAGGCAGCAGUAGGGAAUCUUCCGCAAUGGGCGAAAGCCUGACGGAGCAAUGCCGCGUGAGUGAAGAAGGCCUUCGGGUCGUAAAACUCUGUUAUAAGAGAAGAACAAAUUGUAGAGUAACUGCUACAGUCUUGACGGUAUCUUAUCAGAAAGCCACGGCUAACUACGUGCCAGCAGCCGCGGUAAUACGUAGGUGGCAAGCGUUGUCCGGAUUUAUUGGGCGUAAAGGGAGCGCAGGUGGUUUCUUAAGUCUGAUGUGAAAGCCCACGGCUUAACCGUGGAGGGUCAUUGGAAACUGGGAAACUUGAGUACAGAAGAGGAAUGUGGAACUCCAUGUGUAGCGGUGGAAUGCGUAGAUAUAUGGAAGAACACCAGUGGCGAAGGCGACAUUCUGGUCUGUUACUGACACUGAGGCUC